GCAUAUCAAUAAGCGGAGGAAAAGAAACCAACAGGGAUUGCCCCAGUAACGGCGAGUGAAGCGGCAACAGCUCAAAUUUGAAAUCUGGCCCCCCGGCCCGAGUUGUAAUUUGCAGAGGAUGCUUUUGGUGAGGCACCUACCGAGUCCCCUGGAAUGGGGCGCCAUAGAGGGUGAGAGCCCCGUAUGGUAGGACGCCGAACCUCUGUAAAGCUCCUUCGACGAGUCGAGUAGUUUGGGAAUGCUGCUCUAAAUGGGAGGUAAAUUUCUUCUAAAGCUAAAUACCGGCCAGAGACCGAUAGCGCACAAGUAGAGUGAUCGAAAGAUGAAAAGCACUUUGAAAAGAGGGUUAAAAAGUACGUGAAAUUGUUGAAAGGGAAGCGCUUGUGACCAGACUUGCGCGGGGCGGAUCAUCCAGCGUUCUCGCUGGUGCACUCCGCCCGGUUCAGGCCAGCAUCGGUUUUCGCCGGGGGACAAAGGCUUCGGGAACGUGGCUCCUCUCGGGGAGUGUUAUAGCCCGUUGCGUAAUACCCCGGCGGGGACCGACGACCGCGCUUCGGCAAGGAUGCUGGCGUAAUGGUCAUCAGCGACCCGUCUUGAAACACGGACCGAGGAGUCAAGCAUUAGUGCGAGUGUUUGGGUGUAAAACCCCCACGCGUAAUGAAAGUGAACGUAGGUGAGAGCUUCGGCGCAUCAUCGACCGAUCCUGAUGUUUUCGGAAGGAUUUGAGUAGGAGCAUUAACGCUUGGACCCGAAAGAUGGUGAACUAUACUUGAAUAGGGUGAAGCCAGAGGAAACUCUGGUGGAGGCUCGCAGCGGUUCUGACGUGCAAAUCGAUCGUCAAAUUUGAGUAUAGGGGCGAAAGACUAAUCGAACCAUCUAGUAGCUGGUUUCAGCCGAA
rnacentral:rRNA from 1 species